rnacentral:rRNA from 1 species
UACGUAGGGUGCGAGCGUUGUCCGGAAUUAUUGGGCGUAAAGGGCUCGCAGGCGGUCUGUCGCGUCGGGAGUGAAAACUCAGGGCUUAACCCUGAGCCUGCUUCCGAUACGGGCAGACUAGAGGUAUGCAGGGGAGAACGGAAUUCCUGGUGUAGCGGUGAAAUGCGCAGAUAUCAGGAGGAACACCGGUGGCGAAGGCGGUUCUCUGGGCAUUACCUGACGCUGAGGCACGAAAGCGUGGGGAGCAAACAGG